AUUGAACGCUGGCGGCAUGCCUUACACAUGCAAGUCGAACGGCAGCACGGGAGCAAUCCUGGUGGCGAGUGGCGAACGGGUGAGUAAUAUAUCGGAACGUGCCCAGUCGUGGGGGAUAACGUAGCGAAAGCUACGCUAAUACCGCAUACGAUCUACGGAUGAAAGCGGGGGAUCGCAAGACCUCGCGCGAUUGGAGCGGCCGAUAUCAGAUUAGGUAGUUGGUGGGGUAAAGGCUCACCAAGCCGACGAUCUGUAGCUGGUCUGAGAGGACGACCAGCCACACUGGGACUGAGACACGGCCCAGACUCCUACGGGGGGCAGCAGUGGGGAAUUUUGGACAAUGGGCGCAAGCCUGAUCCAGCAAUGCCGCGUGCAGGAUGAAGGCCUUCGGGUUGUAAACUGCUUUUGUACAGAACGAAAAGGUUUCUACUAAUACUAGGAGCUCAUGACGGUACUGUAAGAAUAAGCACCGGCUAACUACGUGCCAGCAGCCGCAGUAA
rnacentral:rRNA from 1 species